rnacentral:tRNA from 1 species
GGAAACGUGCCUGAACUACUAAGGGUUACUUUGAUAGGGUAAACAAUAGAGGUUAAAAUCCUCUCGCUUCCUUA